rnacentral:miRNA from 1 species
GCCGGGGAACUGGCUGGACAGGAAGAAGAGGAAGCCCUUGAGGGGCUAGAGGUGCUAGAUGUUUUUCUACGCUUCUCUGGACUGCACCUUUUUCGUGCAGUUGAGCCAGGCCUGGUGC